UACGAACUGUGCGAACGUUAUUCGGAAUCACUGGGCUUACAGGGUGCGUAGGCGGCUUGUUAAGUAGGGUGUGAAGGCCCCCGGCUCAACCGGGGAAUUGCGCCCUAAACUGGCGAGCUGGAGUGAGAUAGGGGUGUGUGGAACUUCCGGUGGAGCGGUGAAAUGUGUUGAUAUCGGAAGGAACGCCGGUGGCGAAAGCGACACACUGGAUCACAACUGACGCUGAGGCGCGAAAGCUAGGGGGGCAAACAGG
rnacentral:rRNA from 1 species